CUAGGGUGUCACUGUUCCAUACCAUUGUUUAAGGGCCAUGGGGUUCUGAGCCUUUGUGUGGCUCUGUGGCAGGAGUAGCCCAUCCCUCCUCUCUGCCCUCCCUGUACCCUUCUACAAAGCUUUUUGCUCUCUUCCAAGUCCACGUACUGUCUUCAGUUUCCAUCAUGGGACGGAAGCUUCUCACUAGCUUUUGCUCUCCUCUCCCUGCCCCUCUUUAGCUUUCGUUUCAGUGUGACUUGGGAGGUAGCGGGGAGACCCUUGGAUGUGUUUAGUCUGAUAUGCUUAACCAGAAUGCCUUCCUAGCUCCUGCUGUAGCAGACACUGGCAUUUCAGGUUUCGGAUAAAGUUGUGUCUGCUGUCCUGACCACGACCUACCAUGAUAUGGUCUGUAUUGCUGACCUGCGAGGGUUGAGACUGGGUACCAGGAGGACUAGAAGCUGGGGACUGUGCCCCUGCUAGGGACUCUUUACAGUUCCAAGCCAUAUUUUAGCGCAUGUUAUGGGGGAAACGAUGUGGUCCUCUCUAUUUUAUAGACUCAAGGGCUGUAUCCCUUGAGAAUGUCAAGGGUCUAUUGGACCUCUGUUGCUAUGGAAACCAGUUCCCUCACGGCAAUCAUGUUUGUAACAUCCUCAGCGAUGUGAUGCUCACAGAUUGGAGUAUAGCAGUCCCCAGCUAGAAAGCCACCUCCCCCUCACCACUGGCCACAUCCUUUCAUGAGGUCUCCAGGGUCUCCUAAGCCUGAGUGUCUUGCUGAAGAGUGUGUCAGCUCAGAGGAAAAGGAGAGGAUGAGCCUGUUGGCCUGCAUACUUACUAUGCAAAUGAGUUAAUAUGUGUGAAGUGCUUAGAACAGCCCGGCUCAUGCUGAAAUUGGCCAAUUUCAUCUGGAGUGUGCCUGGACUUCCCAGCAACCCGCACCCACAAACGAACAACUUUAGUCGCUGUCUAGAGAAGGACUGGCAGGAGCUAGCCCGGGGUCUCCCCAACUGAGCCUCCCGUGUACUGUUUUGAAGAAUGACACCCCUACAUGUGGUCUCUACCCCUGAGUGUAGCCUCCACAAGAGUGAGCCAGGAGGACUAGGAACUGAAUGACAGGGCUUUAGGGUUAGGCUUGACUGUUUUCGGUGUCUCAGGAGAAGCCAGAGCACACAGGACAGGAGAGAGGUGGCUGGCCCCAUUGAAAGUAGGCAGCACAGACCUGCUCAAGGGAAGAAGUCAGAUUCGCUUCAGGUGAAGCCAAGAACCAGUAAGAUGAAUCUGCGUGGCCAGGCUCCAAAAUCGCUUCUCUCGUUAAGGACCAUAAGGGAACAAGGGUGGUACUGCGUACGCUAGGCCUCGGUCUGGAGUGAUAACUUGGGGACCACUGCAUACCUCACGUUCACGUUCAUCAAGUUCCAUACUGAGAAUCUGCUUGUUCUUUAUGAAUUCUACCACAAGAGAGCAUGGGGGAGUGGGGAAUCCCUCAGUGUUUUCCAAACUUUAUGGUGUUUAUUAUCUCAUUGGAGCUUAUUUGAAAUACAAAGUUCUAGAACCCUAGGU